GGAAAUUGUAUCAACAAGAUGUGUUGGAUUUUAUUUGAUUUGUGAUAAAAAUCACAAUCCAUCUCGGAGAUUUUAGUCUGUUUUUUUUUUAAAUUUAUUUAUUUUUUCAGCGUUUUUGCGACGUUGGUACCAUUGCGAUCAUAUAUAUAAGGACAGUCUUCGUAUCUAUUUGGUACCAAAUAUUGUUCCCCAUGUAUAUAUAUAUAUAUUUAUCUUACCUCCUAUACAUUUAUAGGAAUGUGAUUGGUUUAAAGCGUCCGCGUGAAGACCGUGUAUAUAUGAUAUUAGGUUAGUAGGGAGGCGGGGCUUAUUUCAUACACGGUUAGUAGUGGAGUUACGUCCCUUUAUAUUCCAUAUUAGGUAGUAGGGAGGCAGGGCUUAUUUCAUACACGGUCAGUAGUGGUGUUACGUCCCUUUAAAAAAAUAAAACGGAACUGAGAAAAAUCUGAAAGGUUUCAACAGACGAAGAAAUUGAUGAUUAAGAUUGAAAUAAAUUCAUUAAACACA
rnacentral:lncRNA from 1 species